UACGUAGGGUGCAAGCGUUAAUCGGAAUUACUGGGCGUAAAGCGUGCGCAGGCGGUGAUGUAAGACAGUUGUGAAAUCCCCGGGCUCAACCUGGGAACUGCAUCUGUGACUGCAUCGCUGGAGUGCGGCAGAGGGGGGUGGAAUUCCAGGUGUAGCAGUGAAAUGCGUAGAGAUCUGGAGGAACACCGAUGGCGAAGGCAGCCCCCUGGGCUAACACUGACGCUCAUGCACGAAAGCGUGGGGAGCAAACAGG
rnacentral:rRNA from 1 species